rnacentral:rRNA from 1 species
AGUAACGCGUGGGAACGUACCCAGAUCUAAGGAAUAGCCACUGGAAACGGUGAGUAAUACCUUAUACGCCCUUCGGGGGAAAGAUUUAUCGGAUUUGGAUCGGCCCGCGUUAGAUUAGGUAGUUGGUGGGGUAAUGGCCUACCAAGCCUACGAUCUAUAGCUGGUUUUAGAGGAUGAUCAGCAACACUGGGACUGAGACACGGCCCAGACUCCUACGGGAGGCAGCAGUGGGGAAUCUUAGACAAUGGGCGCAAGCCUGAUCUAGCCAUGCCGCGUGAGUGAUGAAGGCCUUAGGGUCGUAAAGCUCUUUCGCCUGUGAUGAUAGUGACAGUAGCAGGUAAAGAAACCCCGGCUAACUCCGUGCCAGCAGCCGCGGUAAUACGGAGGGGGUUAGCGUUGUUCGGAAUUACUGGGCGUAAAGCGCACGUAGGCGGAUUAGAAAGUUAGGGGUGAAAUCCCGGGGCUCAACCUCGGAUCGGCCUCCAAAACUCCUAGUCUAGAGUUCGAGAGAGGUGAGUGGAAUUCCAAGUGUAGAGGUGAAAUUCGUAGAUAUUUGGAGGAACACCAGUGGCGAAGGCGGCUCACUGGCUCGAUACUGACGCUGAGGUGCGAAAGUGUGGGGAGCAAACAGGAUUAGAUACCCUGGUAG